UUAUUGCCUAAUUAUUUUUCCUUGAUUUGCGUCAUGUCUGAAUAAUUCCAUUGUUCCUUGUAUGGCAAUUCCCUUAUCAGUUUUCGACCUAUAUAACGGCCCUGUAUCCCUCAUGAUAUUCAUAAGUUCAUCGACAGCCACUGCGUAAACAAGUGCUUCCAGAUCAAGACUGUGACCAAGCUCCUCCAAAGCAAAGACCCGAACAUCAACGUCCGCUCUCUGCUCUGCUGAAUCGUGACUCCUGAAUAAGACUCUACAAGAUGCAAAAUCUCAUGCUGCUCUGUAUGGCUAUGUUCCUGGCGGCGGAUGCGAGGCCAGAACCCGGGACGAAGUUGCCCUGCAAUCCAAGACAAUACACCGAUCCCACGAGGUCCCGCUCAAAAGAGGAACCACCGGAAGCACACCAAAAGGUUGUCAAGAUUCCAGGGAUCCUGUCGACCCGAAUAGGAUUCCUUGACGGCCCAGAUCUGAAUCAACGUUGGCCCUUUGAAUAUAAAGUUGUUGUGCCUGACUGUGCUUAAGAUUUUUGUUAUGUAUUCACGCUGUAAACAACCGAGUAGUUGAUAAGUUUGCUUAUUGUAAUGCUUCUUUUUCUUCACUUUUUAAAAUAAAGAUUAUUGCGCAAUAUUUCUUGGUAUCAUUGACGUAGAAUAAGCUGACGCAACGUCCAGUAGGUAUCCCAACUCACCUGUAUACCUGGCUGAGCUUAGGUCACGAUCGGUCUGCUAGGCUGAAUGGAAUGUGCAUCGGACCGACGUGCAGAUGUAGGCUUCACGCUGCAACUCGUGCAACGCGGUUACCCUAGGA